ACGCAAGUGCCGGUAAGGGUGAAAAGGUGCGGUAAGAGCGCACCGCACGGCUGGUAACAGUCCGUGGCUAGGCAAACCCCACUUGGAGCAAGACCAAAUAGGGAUCCAUUAGGCGUGGCCCGCGUUGGAUCCGGGUAGGUUGCUUGAGGUCGUCAGUGAUGGCGAUCCUAGAGGAAUGACUGUUCACGACAAAACCCGGCUUACAGAUUGACUCUCCAC
rnacentral:RNase_P_RNA from 1 species